GGGAAGUAAAAGUCGUAACAAGGUCUCCGUUGGUGAACCAGCGGAGGGAUCAUUACAGAGUUGCAAAACUCCCUAAACCAUUGUGAACGUUACCUAUACCGUUGCUUCGGCGGGCGGCCCCGGGGUUUACCCCCCGGGCGCCCCUGGGCCCCACCGCGGGCGCCCGCCGGAGGUCACCAAACUCUUGAUAAUUUAUGGCCUCUCUGAGUCUUCUGUACUGAAUAAGUCAAAACUUUCAACAACGGAUCUCUUGGUUCUGGCAUCGAUGAAGAACGCAGCGAAAUGCGAUAAGUAAUGUGAAUUGCAGAAUUCAGUGAAUCAUCGAAUCUUUGAACGCACAUUGCGCCCGCCAGCAUUCUGGCGGGCAUGCCUGUUCGAGCGUCAUUUCAACCAUCAAGCCCCCGGGCUUGUGUUGGGGACCUGCGGCUGCCGCAGGCCCUGAAAAGCAGUGGCGGGCUCGCUGUCGCACCGAGCGUAGUAGCAUACAUCUCGCUCUGGUCGCGCCGCGGGUUCCGGCCGUUAAACCACCUUUUAACCCAAGGUUGACCUCGGAUCAGGUAGGAAGACCCGCUGAACUUAAGCAUAUCAAUAAGCGGAGGA
rnacentral:rRNA from 1 species